rnacentral:misc_RNA from 1 species
UCCGGUUUGUCACCGGCAGUCUCAUUAGAGUGCCCAACUGAAUGUGGCAACUAAUGACAAGGGUUGCGCUCGUUGCGGGACUUAACCCAACAUCUCACGACACGAGCUGACGACAACCAUGCACCACCUGUGAACCGACCGCAAGCGGGGCACCUGUUUCCAGGUAUUUCCGGUCCAUGUCAAGCCUUGGUAAGGUUCUUCGCGUUGCAUCAAAUUAAACCACAUGCUCCGCUGCUUGUGCGGGCCCCCGUCAAUUCCCUUGAGUUUUAGCCUUGCGGCCGUACUCCCCAGGCGGAGUGCUUAACGCGUUAGCUGCGGCGCCGCAGGGGUCAAUACCCGCGACACCUAGCACUCAUCGUUUACAGCGUGGACUAC